GACGUAGGGCGCGAGCGUUGUCCGGAUUUAUUGGGCGUAAAGAGCUCGUAGGCGGCUUGUCGCGUCGAUCGUGAAAACUUGUGGCUCAACUACAAGCUGGCGGUCGAUACGGGCAGGCUCGAGUUCGGUAGGGGAGACUGGAAUUCCUGGUGUAGCGGUGAAAUGCGCAGAUAUCAGGAGGAACACCGGUGGCGAAGGCGGGUCUCUGGGCCGAUACUGACGCUGAGGAGCGAAAGCGUGGGGAGCGAACAGG
rnacentral:rRNA from 1 species